rnacentral:rRNA from 1 species
AUUGAACGCUGGCGGCAGGCCUAACACAUUCAAGUCGAGCGCGCGGCGGACGGGUGAGUAAUGUAUGGGGACUGCCCGAUAGAGGGGGAUAACUACUGGAAACGGUAGCUAAUACCGCAUACUAUCGGAUAACCCAUAUGGGAUUGGCUAGUAGGUGAGGUAAUGGCUCACCUAGGCGACGAUCCCUAGCUGGUCUGAGAGGAUGAUCAGCCACAAUGGAACUGGGACACGGCCCGGUCUCCUACGGAGGCAGCAGUGGGGAAUAUUGCACAAUGGGCGCAAGCCUGAUGCAGCCAUGCCGCGUGUAUGAAGAAGUCCCUAGGGUGGUAAAGUACUUUCAUUCGGGAGGCGUUACCGACAGAAGAAGCACCGGCUAACUCCGGGCCAGCAGCCGCGGUAAUUC